GGGUGUGAGUGUGUGUGUGUGUGUGUGUGUGUGUACACGCAUCUGUGUAUAUGUCUACCAGGUCUAGUAUACAGCUAGUGGCCUGUUUGGUCACCCCAAAGGUCAUGUGUGGCAAAGACCAAGAUCAGUGAAGCAUGUAUUGCUCAGUAUGUAAGGAAGUAGAGACAACUUUGAUGUUGAGCUCUCAGGAAAACUAAACUUUGAAGAGGGUGAGAAUAGGGGAAUGAAUAUGAAGAAAAAAGCCUGAGGUUAUCCAAGAUCUCAGGAAAAAGGAAACAGUUAAAAAUGUACAGCAUAAGCAGAAAUGAAGUCAAAGAAUAAACUUAAGAAGCAAUGUGAUUCUCAUUCUUCUGCCCCAAACCAUGCCAUAACCUCAACACUAGUCCCUUCAAAAAUAACUUACAACUCACUUUCUCCAGAAAACCUUCUCUGAUUAACUCCUUUAUUAAAUUCCAUGCCAUCUUAUCA